CGGUAAUUCCAGCUCCAAUAGCGUAUACUAAAGUUGUUGCAGUUAAAAAGCUCGUAGUUGGAUUUCUGCGGGGACGGAGCGGCCGGACGCAACUUGCGUCUCGAGCUAGCGCUUUCCCCACAUCCUGCCGCGAACCGUGCUACCAUUAGCUUGGUGGCGCUGGGGAUCGGCUCGAUUACUUUGAGAAAAAUAGAGUGUUCAAAGCAGGCCACACGCCUUGAAUAAGUUAGCAUGGAAUAAUGAUUAAGGACUUCGGUUCUAUUUUGUUGGUGUUCGGGACUGAAGUAAUGAUUGAUAGGGACAGUUGGGACGGUCUGUAUUCCAAAGCGAGAGGUGAAAUUCUUAGACCUUCGGAAGACAAACAGCUGCGAAAGCGUUCCGCAAGGAUGUUCCCUUUGAUCAAGAACGAAAGUUGGGGGAUCGAAGACGAUCAGAUACCGUCGUAGUCUCAACUAUAAACUAUACCAGCUAGGGAUCGGCCAACGUUUAACUUUAUCGACUUGGUCGGCACCUUAUGAGAAAUCAAAGCAUCUGGGUUCCGGGGGGAGUAUGGUCGCAAGGCUGAAACUUAAAGGAAUUGACGGAAGGGCACCACCAGGCGUGGAGCCUGUGGCUUAAUUUGACUCAACACGGGAAAACUUACCAGGUCCAGACAUAGGAAGGAUUGACAGAUUGAUAGCUCUUUCUUGAUUCUGUGGGUGGUGGUGCAUGGCCGUUUUUAGUCGGUGAAGUGAUUUGUCUGCUUAAUUGCGUUAACGGACGAGACCCCAGCCUGCUAAAUAGCGCGGCCGAGCUUUGCUCGGUGCGAGCUUCUUAGAGGGACCAUGAUGCGCGAUAGCACAAGGAAGUUUGGGGCAACAACAGGUCUGUGAUGCCCUUAGAUGUUCUGGGCCGCACACGGGCUACACUGGCGCCUGCAACGAGCAUAUCAGCUGGCCCGAGAGGGUCUUGGCUAAUCUUUGGAACCGGCGCCGUGCUUGGGAUUGACCAUUGCAAUUGUUGGUCAUGCAACGAGGAAUGCCUUGUAAACGCGAGUCAUCAGCUCGCAUUGAAUACGUCCCUGCCCUUUGUACACACCGCCCGUCGCUCCUACCGAUGAAUGUUCCGAUGAAAUUUUCGGAGAGCGCCAGAGAACGGGGCUCUGCCUUGCAGAUCUGGAGGCUCAAAGUCACUUAAAUCUGAACAUUUCGAGGAAGGAGAAGUCGUAACAAGGUAGCCG
rnacentral:rRNA from 1 species